GUUAUUUAUGUGAUAUCAUUAUGAGGAAAACUUCCCAUAGUGUUCAGAACAUUGCUUUUUGUUUUGUUUUGCAGAAGGUUAUAUGAAAAGAUAUCUAAAAACAUCUUUGACCUAAUGAAUUACAUCUUGGUUCUUUCUUCUUAUGUUAUCAUACUUUCUGUAAUUCACCAAACAAGCCAGGAAUAUAUUUUAUUAAUUUAUUUGGAUUGUGUGUUACGAGAGAGAAGAGAUCAUCAGAAAAGGCUGCCUUUAUAGUGUUGUGAUGUAACAGAAACAAUGACUGAGUCAAUAGUUCAUUGCAACUGAGAGUUGGUUUCUGUGUAAAGUUCACAGACGUGUCUACUCCGCAACUGACAGUAUAAAAUAGUGGGUAAGAAUUCAGACUCUGGAUCUAGACUGCCUGGGUUCAAAUCCUGGCUCUGCCCUUGGGGGGCUACACGGCCUUGAGCAAGUGGCUUCACCUCUCUUUACCUCAGUUUUCUCAUCUGUAGAAUGGUCAUAUGAAUUGUAUCUAUUUCAUCAGGUUGUGAUGAGGAUUAAAUGAGUUAAAACAUGCAAGAUGUUUAAAACUAUGCUGGUAUGUAGAAGUGUUCAAUAAAUGUUAACUAUUAUUAUUAGUCAAGCAAUUCUGAAGUGCUUGGGAACUCAACCUGGAUGUUUCUUGGGAGGGAAUUAACGGCUGCAUUUUACUGUAUAUACUACUGGUUCCUAUAUUACAGAAAAUAUUUAAAGGCCAUUGGCUGAGGAAAAAGUUAGCUUGUGUGGUUGGAUCCUGCUUGUUGUAGCCGUCCCAGAUCUGGUCUUCCCCUUCCGUGACUCGCCUGGACCUCUUAAGUUUUUGCAGAUCUGGUUCCUCAUUUUUUUAAGUUGGAAUUUUAACCACAUACAUUGAUUAGCCAUUUGGCAACUGCAUCCUCUUUUCGUCUGCUUUGUCUUUCUGCCAAAAUUAUGAUUUCCCGAUUGUUCUGACUCUUGUAUUUAGCUCCCAAGAUGACUCUAACUCUUCUGCAUGCACAAACGUUCGAUGAUUCUUUUUUCUCCUUCCGCCUUGCCUCCACUUCCUCCAGCUCCUUGUUCCAGACUGAUAGCAGAAAGAGGCCUUAGAAAACAGUGGUUUAGAAGCUUAAUCUUGCCAGACCCCAAAACUUUUGUCUGUGAGAAAUUUAAACUACACAGGCAACAUUGAAAUUCAUUCUUCCUUUCUGGCUUCUCUGGUUUGGUAGUUCUUCCUUUCCAUAACGCAGUCAUGUCUUGAGUGUCUGGAAUGAGCUGGAGCCUGGCUAUGUACUGGAAAGGGAAGACAUGGCCUCUGCCCUCCACAAGUUCAUCAGCUAGCGAGGAAGUCAGAAAAAUAAAUGGCGAGAAUGCAAUGUGACACCCACCGUAACUGAAGAUGGAUCAAGUGCACAGAACUGCUCUCCCAUACCAACCCGUGAUUGACAGAGUCGUGAGAGCCUUCGAGGCUCCUGGGAUUGAAGUACCACAGUCGCCUAAGCUGUCGUUCCUCAUGAUUGAGAUUCUAGAUCACUAAUGCUUCCCCAGUGUCUGACCUAACGGCAACAUCUUCUAAGCUCUUCCUUUACCAUUCACCAAACAUAAAAAGCUCUUCCAUCUCCCCUCAAUGGGAGAGAGUUUCUUCCUUUGAAAUCCCAUAAUACUCUGCUUCAACAUCCCUGUGGUUCCUACCAAAGUUUACCUUGCACUAUGGCUACUUAAACACAUACGUGCCUUCUCUCCUUCCAGAUUAGAGAGUCCCUGAGGGCAUGGACUGCUCACUUCAGUGCCUUGCACAGAGCAUUACACAUAACUGACGCUUAAUACAUAUUUGAACAUAUGAUUCAACAAGGGAAACACCUUCUGAUAGAAGGUUCUGAACCUGAGGUAUCAGAGAUUGCCCUGAUCUGAAUCAUUUCCUGUUGGUUUUAGAUAACUAACGCAAUCCUCCACCUCCGGCCUUGGGGAGAAAAAAAAAAAACAACUCAAACCCUCUAACUUCUGGAAAGAUUUUAGAAGAUCCAAGGAGUUUUAAUCUACAUAUAAUAUGUUGAAAGACAAAUAUCAAAGAUUCUAAUUAUUCCAUGUUUAUAUUUUAGUAAAUGCUCUGGUCAUAACAAUCUGAUGUGUAAAUCUGAGAGCUAAGCUUUGUAGUUUAUUGAGAAAAAGACACACACAGAAGUGUGGCA
rnacentral:lncRNA from 1 species